GACGAACGCUGGCGGCGUGCUUAACACAUGCAAGUCGAACGGAAAGGCCCUGCUUUUGUGGGGUGCUCGAGUGGCGAACGGGUGAGUAACACGUGAGUAACCUGCCCUUGACUUUGGGAUAACUUCAGGAAACUGGGGCUAAUACCGGAUAGGAGCUCCUGCUGCAUGGUGGGGGUUGGAAAGUUUCGGCGGUUGGGGAUGGACUCGCGGCUUAUCAGCUUGUUGGUGGGGUAGUGGCUUACCAAGGCUUUGACGGGUAGCCGGCCUGAGAGGGUGACCGGCCCGAUUGGGAUUGAGUAAGGGCCCAGACACCUACGGGAGGCAGCAGUGGGUAAUAUUGAACAAGGGCCGGAAGCCUGAUGCAGCACCGCCGCGUGCGGAGUGACGGCCUUAGGGUUAAAAACCAGUUGCGCCUGUGACGAAGAGUGAGGGACGGGACUGGGUAAAGAAGCACCGGCUAACUCCGUG
rnacentral:rRNA from 1 species